ensembl:snRNA
ACCAUCCUUUUCUUGGGGUUGCACUACUGUCUAAUGCGUGCAUAAUGAGGGCAGUAUUGCUAACGCCUAUACAAUGCACCCGCAUCAGCUAGAACUUUGCUUUACCUUGGUACAAUUUUUGGAAAA